GGGAUGUCAACGGGUCGAAUUCUGUGCGAAUUUUUAAAAAUUUGAAUCCGAACUUAAGUAUCAAACCUGAAAUAUGAAUCCGAACCCGCAAAUCUGAACUCGAAAUAACUACUUUUUUUACAAUAUUUUUAAAUAUAUUAUACUAAAUCUAAAUUUUUAAAAUACAAAUUCAAAUAGAACAUCAACUAUUUCAAGAUAUAUUAUAUAAAUAUAAUCAAUUUGGGUUCAGAUCGGGUACUAUCAAAAGUCAUUUUUGAAUUCAAAUUUGUCGAAUUUUUAUUUUUGAUAUAUUUAUAUCCGUGACUAUAUCUGUUUAGCAUCAAAUAUAUUCGUUUUAUCCGGGUGCGAAUUCGGAUAAAAUUUUAAGUGUCAGUAGAUCUACAGGUAUUUCGCGUAUUUUAAGGAUGAGAGCAAAUAAUAAUA
rnacentral:lncRNA from 1 species